rnacentral:lncRNA from 1 species
AAGCCAACUUUGAUUUUGGCAAUUUAACUUUCAUUUUGUCAAUACCUAAUUUUUAUUUCUUGUCUUAGCAACCUUAAUGAGUUGAGGCUUUGUUUGAGUUUUUCAAUACAGUUUUUAUUUUAUGUUGUGGGAAAUAUGUUGGGAAUUUACCUUAAUAUACUAAAAUAAAUGACCAGAAAUGUUGUCUUCUUUAGCAGUAUGUACUGCUGUAUGUUCUGAAUUACUAGGUUAUACAUUGCUAUACCCCAUGAAUGUGCCGUACAGUGGCUAUAUAAAAGUUCACCUAUUUCUUCCUUAUGUCCUGUGACAUACAGACCCUUCAGAGUUACUGGCUUCAGCUCCUUCAUAACAUCCUUACAUGUGUUAGUGGUGUUUUGACCGAACCAUGCUGGUGCACACCGAAUUGGAGAGUCAGGUUAAAAAAAAACCCAAAGAACACAUGAACAAACAAAAUCCAACUCAAAUAAAUGACUUUUCUUGAGAAGCUUUAUUUUGUGU